CAGUCGCCGCGGUAAAACGUGGGGUGCGAGCGUUAAUCGGAAUUACUGGGCGUAAAGCGUGCGCAGGCGGUUGUGUAAGACAGGUGUGAAAUCCCCGGGCUUAACCUGGGAACUGCGCUUGUGACUGCACAGCUAGAGUAUGGCAGAGGGGGGUGGAAUUCCACGUGUAGCAGUGAAAUGCGUAGAGAUGUGGAGGAACACCGAUGGCGAAGGCAGCCCCCUGGGCCAAUACUGACGCUCAUGCACGAAAGCGUGGGGAGCAAACAGGAUUAGAUACCCGAGUAGUCCCUGUCUCUUAUAC
rnacentral:rRNA from 1 species